rnacentral:rRNA from 1 species
AAGCCUUUGCGGCAUGGGAUGGGGUCGCGUCCUAUCAGCUUGAUGGCGGGGUAACGGCCCACCAUGGCUUCGACGGGUAGCCGGCCUGAGAGGGCGACCGGCCACAUUGGGACUGAGAUACGGCCCAGACUCCUACGGGAGGCAGCAGUGGGGAAUAUUGCACAAUGGGCGCAAGCCUGAUGCAGCGACGCCGCGUGAGGGAUGGAGGCCUUCGGGUUGUAAACCUCUUUUGUUAGGGAGCAAGGCACUUUGUGUUGAGUGUACCUUUCGAAUAAGCACCGGCUAACUACGUGCCAGCAGCCGCGGUAAUACGUAGGGUGCAAGCGUUAUCCGGAAUUAUUGGGCGUAAAGGGCUCGUAGGCGGUUCGUCGCGUCCGGUGUGAAAGUCCAUCGCUUAACGGUGGAUCCGCGCCGGGUACGGGCGGGCUUGAGUGCGGUAGGGGAGACUGGAAUUCCCGGUGUAACGGUGGAAUGUGUAGAUAUCGGGAAGAACACCAAUGGCGAAGGCAGGUCUCUGGGCCGUUACUGACGCUGAGGAGCGAAAGCGUGGGGAGCGAACAGGAUUAGAUACCCUGGUAGUCCACGCCGUAAACGGUGGAUGCUGGAUGUGGGGCCCGUUCCACGGGUUCCGUGUCGGAGCUAACGCGUUAAGCAUCCCGCCUGGGGAGUACGGCCGCAAGGCUAAAACUCAAAGAAAUUGACGGGGGCCCGCACAAGCGGCGGAGCAUGCGGAUUAAUUCGAUGCAACGCGAAGAACCUUACCUGGGCUUGACAUGUUCCCGACGAUCCCAGAGAUGGGGUUUCCCUUCGGGGCGGGUUCACAGGUGGUGCAUGGUCGUCGUCAGCUCGUGUCGUGAGAUGUUGGGUUAAGUCCCGCAACGAGCGCAACCCUCGCCCCGUGUUGCCAGCGGAUUAUGCCGGGAACUCACGGGGGACC